GGAGAUGGCUGUCUCCACUCGGAGCAGCAAGAGGGGUGCUGGGCGAGGUGUCCCACCGGCCCCACUGAGAGCCACCCCAGCGGUGACGGCUGCCACGACGGGCUAACUGCGCCCAAGGACGCACGCUUGUCGUCACGCAUUCCUCCCACAGUUCCAGGAUAGCCAUGACUCCCAGAUCAGAGAUGAGGAAACCGAGGCACGGAGAGGUGUGACACAAAGACCAGGACCGGGGGCAAGGCUGACUCGGCCUGCAGACGAGCCCGGGAGGAGGAGACCGUGACCCAGGGGAUUCACAGUCACUAGAUUUCCUCUGCUCUACAGAGGCUGCCUCCUCUCCUCCACCCCCACCACCUGCGUCAGUAGCCUGCAAAUUGCCAAAUGUUGAUAAUUACUGGAGGCCCCCAGUCAUCUAAUCAACACCUGAGAGGGAGGAAGCAGGGCCUGAACAUCCUCCUCCGCUGGCCUCAAGCACAGGGCUUCUCUCUGGAUGGCUUCUCUGACCUGGGGCAGGAUGCAGAGAGAGAUGGACGUCUCCUGAAAGAGAGCGCUCCCAGGGGCUGG